rnacentral:rRNA from 1 species
UACGUAGGGACCAAGCGUUGUUCGGAUUUACUGGGCGUAAAGAGUGUGUAGGCGGUGUUCUAAGUUUGUCGUGAAAUCUCCCGGCUUAACUGGGAGGGUGCGGCGAAAACUGGAAUGCUAGAGGAUGGGAGAGGUAAGCGGAAUUCCUGGUGUAGCGGUGAAAUGCGUAGAUAUCAGGAGGAACACCUGUGGUGUAGACAGCUUACUGGACCAUUUCUGACGCUGAGACACGAAAGCGUGGGUAGCAAACAGG